GUGGUUAGUGCGCCUGCCUUUAACCCAGAGGUAAUGGGUUCAAGGCUCGUCGUUGCUAC
ensembl:miRNA